CAAUAUUGUUGCUUUUAGUGAAAUAAUCUAGUUGGUAAUUUAUACUGUGAAGAAAUUCAAUUUUUUGGAAGUUUCAAAAGCGAACCGAAGUCCUACUCAACAACCAUAGGCCUACCACACAACCCACAAGUAGGUGACAAUAUAUUCUACACCACAGCGCAUAUUUCUUCACUUGCUAUUUACUCGUACAUAGAAAACAACUGGAAUAAGCAUGAAUAACAGCGAAGCAUAUAAAAAUUUUAUGAAUUUAAUCGUGAACGACACUCCUAACAAUUCGUGGGAUUUUUCAAAAGUACUGGAAUUCAUAGAUAAAAUCGUAAUAAUACCAUCUUUAAUCUGCGUAGUAAUCCAUUUUUACAAAUUUUUCACCAGUGGUAAAAUAUCAGCACAAAGUUUGGCCACUAAAAAUCUCACUUUUUACUGUUUUCUUCUAUUAUUGAACCUAAUUUAUGAGAUCUCGGUUCUUUUCAAUUUAAAGUAUUUAUUGCCGGAAAUAUUUAUUUUCUUCGAUUACCAGACGCGUACGUACAUAAACUUAACAAUGGCGUUUUUCAAACUAAUUAUUGCUCUUGAUAUAUACUUGUGUUUUCGGAAAAUCGCUUUGUACCUGCGACGUCCUCCCUCAAGUAACCAAAAUAAAAAAUUCUACGUUUAUUGCUUAUUGGGGACAAGCAUUCCUUUCCUCAUUAUUUUACUUCCGAUGCAAAUUUUCGAAGAUGGGCAUUACUUGUAUUAUACGUCAGCAAUAUUGUGCGCCAUCCGUGUCUCACGUUUGAUUCCAAUUGUCGGUGCAUUUUGGUACAUACGAUCAGCCAGCAUGGAUAAAACUGAAUUAUGGAAUAGGUUCUCAUUACAUUUUCGUCUUCUUGUGAUGCUUGGCAGUUUAGCCGCUUCAGUUGGUGUUGUACAACUAUAUCUAGUGAUUGCGGUACGUAAAGUCUAUUUGACUGAUGAUAUACUUUCACUGUCAGAUGACGAUUGGGAUGAUGCUAAUGAUAUAUACUACAUGCAAGAAAAAUUUGCACAUAUUUUAACACUAGGUAAUAUUCUAGAAGGUAUUGUUAUCGCUAUAUUUUUUACAUUUAAGAAAGAUACAUUUCGACCUAUCCAUUCUUCUUCUUCUUCUUCAGUACAUUGUUGAUUAUUUUUUCAUGAACAGGAACCCCCUCCCCCCUCCUAUGAGUGUGUAUAAUAAAUAUUUUAAAAAUUCAUUCUAUAUUUUUUCAUGUUUUUAACGCAUGUACUUUGAUUAUCAAUAAGUUACUGAUGUUUAAUCUCCUUGAAAUAAGAUUUGAGCAGGUAAAUGUAACCAGGCUAAUGUUUGAGCUUGAUUAUUCCAUUAUUCAAUAAAAUGAUGAUCAUUUCAA